rnacentral:lncRNA from 1 species
UCAACACUAUAAUUUUUCCUACUUGAUUCUCACAUCAUAAAUCACUAAUUCCUAACCAAAUCACUUGAAAUAAAAUCAAAAUCAUCCUCAAUAUUCCACAUGGAGAAUUCGGCCAAUGAUGGGUGAUGGAAGAACAUGAAUUUUUCUUGCUUGAUUUUCAUGCUACACAUCACCAAUCAACUAAAAACACUAAAAUACAUUGAAAUCUAACCAAAUCAAGCAUCAAAA